rnacentral:tRNA from 1 species
GUUUCCGUAGUGUAGUGGUCAUCAUGUUUGCCUUACACGCAAAAGGUCCCCAGAUCGAAACUGGGCGGAAACA